GUGAGGAAUAUUGGUCAAUGGGCGGGAGCCUGAACCAGCCAAGUCGCGUGAAGGAAGAAGGAUCUAUGGUUCGUAAACUUCUUUUGCAGGGGAAUAAAGUGCAGGACGUGUCCUGUUUUGUAUGUACCCUGAGAAUAAGGAUCGGCUAACUCCGUGCCAGCAGCCGCGGUAAUACGGAGGAUCCGAGCGUUAUCCGGAUUUAUUGGGUUUAAAGGGUGCGUAGGUGGUUUGAUAAGUCAGCGGUGAAAGUUUGCAGCUUAACUGUAAAAAUGCCGUUGAAACUGUCGGACUUGAGUGUAAAUGAGGUAGGCGGAAUGCGUGGUGUAGCGGUGAAAUGCAUAGAUAUCACGCAGAACUCCGAUUGCGAAGGCAGCUUACUAAGCUACAACUGACACUGAAGCACGAAAGCGUGGAGAUCAAACAGGAUUAGAAACCCGGGUAGUCC
rnacentral:rRNA from 1 species